rnacentral:lncRNA from 1 species
GCUGGAGCACCAGCCAGCCUCGCAGCGAGGCUGGAGGAUGCUGUGCUCGUGCAGGAUCCAUUGCGGCCCUUUCACAUCCCCAUGCAUAACCCUCAGCUGGGCCACAUGUGGGACGCAUUAACGCAGCUGCAGAUGGGGAGCCUUUCCAAAGAGCUCUCCUCCUUCCUCAGCCUGGGUCCCAGGAGCAGCGAGUGGAGUCGGAGCAUUUCCAGGGGGUAUCACUGCUAAAGAUGGCCUGGACAUUACAUCUGCACAGCAAUGGGAGGACACCACGAGAGCCCAGCUCUGUGAACCCUCAGUGUCACCUACCAACCACAAGUGAGCCUCUGCAUGACAGCAAGACCCCAAAACCAAUAGCAGUGGGCAAGCCUGUUUUUCAAGGGCACCCCAACCCGUUAGCAAGAAGAGGCAUCGCCAUCCCUGCAGCCACUAGAUGGUGCCAAGAGAAAGAGCGUGGGAGGAACGGGGUGAGGAAGAGGAGGGCACCCGCGCCUCCAGCUGUCCCCUGCCACCCGAAAGCCUGGCCGUGGGGUGAGGGACAAACCCCAGGUAUGUACAGUUUGCAGCGGAAGAUCUCCCAGCCCAUGUCCGUGGGGAGGCAUCGUCCUGGCUGGGGAGUGUUUGGGACCUAACGGCGAUGAGGUUGUGGCUGGGAAGUCCUCGACUGGUUUUGUGCUGGGUUGGCCAGCUGGUAUCGCCCAGUGUGGUUGGGCUCACACCAGGAGUGCUGUCCCAGCUCCUCCUGUGCUGUCCCCAUCAGAUGUCCCUGGUUUCUGCAACAAGCAAAGAUGUGGUGCAUGGGAAGAUGGAGAUUUCUCUGCCCUCGUGAAGGAAACCUGUGCCUAUGCUAGGAUGGGACCUGGAGAUUGCUCCCAGCAGGGCCCUUGCAGGCUCCCUGUGGGAGAAAGCACGGCUGGAAAUAGGGCUGGGGUGGGGGACAUGGGUGCGCCGGGUGGAGCUGCAGAGAUGACAGCCUCCUUGCAAUUUCUGGGUGCAAUGCCUCCCCUGCCUUCCGGAGCCUGCAAGGAUUUGGGCCACAUCUUUCGGUUGUAGUGCAAGAUCAAAAGAAAACCUCAUUUGGCUUCAUUUCAAUGAAAGCUAAAAGUCUGAAAAUGCAAAAGCCAAGUGAAAUUUCUCUGUAUCUGUCAGCCUGUUGAAUUUGCCCAUCUGUGCCAGGUUGCAUGACUUUGUGUCUCGCACUUCGUUCUGGUUCUCCUAAAAGACUUGGUUCCCGG